GAUGAAGAACGCAGCAAAAUGCGAUAAGUAAUGUGAAUUGCAGAAUUCAGUGAAUCAUCGAAUCUUUGAACGCACAUUGCGCCCGCCAGCAUCCUGGCGGGCAUGCCUGUCCGAGCGUCAUUUCAACCCUCAGGCCCCCGGGCCUGGCGUUGGGGAUCGGCGGAGCCCCCCGUGGGCACACGCCGUCCCCCAAAUGCAGUGGCGGUCCCGCCGCAGCUUCCAUCGCGUAGUAGCUAACACCUCGCGACUGGAGAGCGGCGCGGCCACGCCGUAAAACACCCAACUCUUCUGAAGUUGACCUCGAAUCAGGUAGGAAUACCCGCUGAACUUAAGCAUAUCAAUAAGCGGAGGA
rnacentral:misc_RNA from 1 species